CCUACGGGAGGCAGCAGUGAGGAAUAUUGGUCAAUGGGCGGGAGCCUGAACCAGCCAAGUCGCGUGAAGGAAGAAGGUACUUAGUACUGUAAACUUCUUUUGUCGGGGAACAAAGGCGGAGACGCGUCUCCGGAUGAGUGUACCCGAAGAAAAAGCAUCGGCUAACUCCGUGCCAGCAGCCGCGGUAAUACGGGGGAUGCGAUCGUUACCCGGAUCUAUUGGGGUAAACGGGUGCGCGGGCGGGAUAUCAAGUCAGCGGUAAAAUGUCGGGGCUCAACCCCGGCCGGCCGUUGAAACUGGUUUACUAGAGUUGGAGAGAGGUAUGCGGAAUUCGUGGUGUAGCGGUGAAAUGCAUAGAUAUCACGAAGAACUCCGGUUGCGAAGGCAGCAAACCGGCUCCAUACUGACGCUGAGGCGCGAAAGCGUGGGGAUCGAACAGGAUUAGAUACCCCAGUAGUC
rnacentral:rRNA from 1 species